rnacentral:rRNA from 1 species
CCUACGGGGGGCAGCAGUGGGGAAUAUUGGACAAUGGGGGGAACCCUGAUCCAGCGACGCCGCGUGAGUGAAGAAGUAUUUCGGUAUGUAAAGCUCUAUCAGCAGGGAAGAAAAUGACGGUACCUGACUCAGAAGCAACGGCUAACUACGUGCCAGCAGCCGCGGUAAUACGUAGGGGGCAAGCGUUAUCCGGAUUUACUGGGUGUAAAGGGAGCGUAGACGGUGGAUCAAGUCUGAUGGGAAAGGUCGGGGCCCAACCCCGGGACUGCAUUUGAAACUGGUUAACUUGAGUACAGGAGAGGUAUGCGGAAUGCCUGGUGUAGCGGUGAAAUGCGUAGAUAUUAGGAGGAACACCAGUGGCGAAGGCGGCUUACUGGACUGUAACUGACGUUGAGGCUCGAAAGCGUGGGGAGCAAACAGGAUUAGAUACCCUAGUAGUC